AACAAAAAAAAACCCUGGAGUUUUAUUUUGGAUUUUAAAAUUAUGUGUUCUUGCAGAUAUCCUGCAACUUGUGCCAGAAGGUGUGUGUGUGUAUCUGCAAGUUGAUUGUUUCUUAAUUUCAUGAAGUGGGGAUAGAAGGUUCAGUUGUAGUUUAAGGCUGCAGUUUCCUCAUUUCAUAGAGACUGCUUUUGAAUCUAUUACAGUCUGGUAGUCUUUAAAUGGCCCCACAAGAAUGUACAGGAUUUUAGGGAUGCUUAUAUGUGGUCCUCAUACAAACCCAGAACGUGGGUUUCAAAUUGAGAAUAAUCCAGGAUCAGAAAGAAAGCAGUAUUUAUAUAAAAUGCUGAAAAUAAAGGCAGUUCAAAGAUGUUAUGUUAUCAUGGAGGAGGUGUUUGAAUUACACUGUACAUUUUUGUGCUCUUGAGUGUUAUGCUGUACAGCAUAUCACUAAGUUAGGAUGAACCUUCAUUUAUUUUAGCUCUUUUUUCCCUUGAUCUUCCCAUCUGAGAGUAUGUUGGCACAAGAGGCAGGUUUCUUUCAUUAUCUGACAGGAAAAUGUAGUAAUAAAUAUGUUUUUAAACAAAUUUAUCCAUUUUCCUGUAGCGUACUUCCUACAGUUUUGCAACCUUGGGCUUCUGCUUGAAGUAACAAUUAAAGGGUUUCAUUUUGUUCUGGGAAACCUUGUGUCUUAUCUAAGGGAUGUUUCUGCAUUCUCUCACAGUGCCUGUGACACCAAAAUUUGUCUCUGGGUGUUUCAGUGGCAUUUAAUAAUGGUAUUUGUAUAGAUAGACAAUACCUGUACAAUGCCUUGAUAACCUGUGUCAGGUAACCUAUUUUGGAAGGCUUUUCUGGGACUACACCCAGCCUGGCUUGCACUAACAGGUUUGGAAAGAAAUUAAGAUUUUUGUGCAUGCCAAAAGAUUAUACGGUACUUAUUUUCUUAAAUUGAAUGUGAGAUUAAAAUCCAGUAUAUCCUGUUGAUUUUUUCUUAGCAAGUUGCAGUCACAGAAUUGUGUGAUGCAACAGUUAAGCAUUCUCCUCAUCCUGACAGGGAAUCUCAUCAUGCCAUUUCAGGUGGUAAAUGUCUUUCAUAAGUCUUUCAAAAUUCACACUUAAUUUCACUUGAAAUGGUUCAUCAUGAUGAGCAAAGAAGUGCUAACAUCUAGCUUUACUAGAUUCUUAUAGCUGUGAGGAAAUCCUCUUAUUGGAAAUUAUUUGGUGUUUUCUGAAACUGUUUCCAUGUUUGAGCUGCAGAGGUGGUGAAGGGUGAGAAGCAUCUGAGGUCACUUGGUGUGUUCAGCCUGGAGGAGACUGAGAGGAGAGCUCAGUGCAGUCCACAGCUUCCUCAUGAGGGGGAGUGGAAGGGCAGGCACUGAUCUCUUCUCUCUGGUGAGCAGUGACAGGACCCAGGGAAUGGCCUGAAGCUGUGUCAGGGGAGGUUUAGGUUGGAUAUCAGGAGAAUGUUCUUCACCCAGAGUGUGGCUGGGCACUGGAACAGCUCCCCAGGGAAGUGGUCACAGCACCAGCCUGACAGAGCUCAAGAAGUUUUUGGACAAUGCUCCAGGCACAUGAUGUGACUGUUGGGGCUGUGCAGGGCCUGGAGUUGGACUUUGCUGAUCCUUGUGGGUGUCUUCCAACUCAGGAUAUUCUAUGAUAGGUGCAUUUUCUGUGUCAGGAAUUAUUUCUGUCAGCAAAAGUUUUUCACUAGCCUGGUUGCUCUCCAUGAGUGAUUAUUUUUUAUUUUUUAUUUUAAUUUUGGUAUAAUGUGAAAAGGGCUCCAUUGGGCAAAGUGUACAAAAUAUAGCAAGUGCAAUUUUUGGUUUGUAUUCAGUGCACCUGAAUUCAUUAGAAAACUCAUCUAAAAAAUCCAUAGGGAAUAUCCAAAGCUGAGAAAGGAGCAAGUAGGCCAAAGUGACAUCUUAGAACAGUAUGUGGAUGACAAUUGCUUAAUGACUGGUGGUGUGACAUGUGAGCUUCAGUCACAUGUUUGAAGGUUUUCUGAAAUUCUUCUGCCCAAGGAGGACAACUAAGGCUCACCAACAAAUGCAUCCCAUUUUUCUCUUCAGGGUGCUUUGAUGGCAUUGGACAACAUCAUUCAGCAUUACAGCAUGUACUUGGUCUUGAAAUUCAGGCCAUGAAGAAAAAACAUAUAUCAGUGUUGGUAUUUACCUGAAAAGACAGAGGACUGAUUAUAACAUCCAGCAUGGAGUUUUAGUGGCAGAGAUCUUUGGUACCAACCAGAACUUGCUGAAAGCAGGACAUCCAUAGUUGGACUGCAUUUUGAGAGCAGCUGGACAUUUAUAGCUUGGGCAGUUUGAGGUGAAGUCACAGUUCUACUGGAUGAUGUAGAAAAUUGAGCAUUUAGAGCAGAGCAUGGCAUGAUAAGCAAGAGAACAGUAAACACAUUUUUAUAGCCAACUUGAACUUGGAAAGCUUAGAACUGGAGUUCUAAGGACUCAGCCAUAAAGUUUUAGUAUUUCAGACUGAGAUUGAUGAAAAUUACCUACUUGUGCUACAUUGUGCUAGAAUGAAUUAAGAACUUUUAUUUAUUUAAAAAUCAUAGUGGGAAAUGGGUACAAAACUGACAAAUGCUCACAAGACAUUUCUGUCAUCUGUGUUUACUUUACUUAACUUCUGGUUGUCACUGAGUUAAGGGAGUUAGAAACUUCAGUACUGUAAUUAUUCAUAAAAGGCUGGGAUAUUUCCAUGUUAACUGCUCUUUCACAACAUCAUACCUGUAUUUAAAUUGUUUCUUUUGGGGAGGCAAACUAAUGACAUUCUUGUGGGAAAUGACGGGAGUCCAGGGCCAAGAAAUACUUGGGCCCUGCCUUAUUUCUACUCCUCAGGAUAUUACUGAUGGAGUCCUUGUAGAUAUCCACAGUAUGUACUUACAUACUGCAGGUACAAUAGAAAUAGUUUGGCAUCAGUUGCAGUACCUAAUAGAAGUGUUAGAAUGGUUCUGAAGUUACUUAUUUAACAACUUCAGUAUUGCAUGAGUCAUAUUAUCCCCCUCCUCCCCCAUCAGUCUGGGCAUCAAGAAAAGUCCUGAAUUUCUGCAUUAAGUUCUCAGUAUCACCACUUUCAGUGAAGCUCAAUGAUAAAAAUACUGCAGAGUUUCUGGGUUUGUUAUGGUAACACAAUUAAACAACUGAAACCCUGAGAGCCAACAAGCCUGACAGCAUGUUCUGUUCCUUUCUUGGACACAGAGAGCUGUCACUGAGACUCUCUGAUGGUGCAUGUCAUUUCUCAGUCACCACGCAAUCCGUGCAGCACUGGGAUUACCUGAGAUGUUGUUUUGUCUUUCCCAUUUAACUUGACGUGACACCUACCGCCAUGGAGAAUGACAGGGGAGAAGUAUGAUUUGUCAAACCUUGCACUAGCAGUUUUCAACACCCUGCUGGCUCUGUGUGUGUGUGUGUAUGAGGGGCCAGGUCCAGACUGUCCUCUUGUCUGUGUUUGAAAGACAUGAACGCUGGAUGCAAACACAUUGAGGUGGUGGGUUUCAGGGAUUAAGGGGCCUGUUGUUUGUUGCUGAGAUGUAUAUCUGGCAGUCUCAGCUCUGAGCAACAGGUUGGAAGCUGAUUAAUGUUUUAGGAUCUGCAGUCUGGAUAUUGAAUACUGUGAAAUUUUUGCUUCCAGCACUGAGAUGUUAAGCUCUGCUGUUAACCAGGGGCACCUGCAGUGCCAUUUCUUGUUGUUAAGUGGGAAUCCAGUCCUUCCCUGGAGCUUCCAAAUUUGUUGCCCUGUUUCUAAAGGUCCAACUUUGCCAAACUUCAACUGUAUAUAGACUGAAUUGUGAUGGGCAUAAGGUUUAAGUCUCUUGGAAUUUCAGUCAAAACAGUUGCAUAUUCUUUUUAAUUUAGGAUGUGGUUGUCUUUAGCCUGUGUUCAAAUAUUCUCAAAGAUUUUUGCUUGGAAAUCAUUUGCCAGUUCAGUGUUUUGGGACAGGAACUCCAGUUUGGGUAGGGGGAAAUUACCUCUUUGUAGAGGAUGUCCCCUAUGUUUUUAUUUUUACCUCUGCUUUCUAUUCUGAUUUGGCCAAAUAUAUUAAUGUUUGUAUAAAAUGGAUAGCACGUGCUCAGUAAAAGUGGUUUUGGUAUGUGUGUAUCUUUAUUUUAUACCAAAUAAAAACUGCAUUGGUCUUAUCUCAAGUGAGCAUGUGCAAACCUCUUUCUUUGCCAUAGAAAACUCAAUGUGGUACAGUGGGAAUCAAAACCAUGUAACUAUGGCAGGGGCUUCAUCACUGGGCUCAACAGGGAGGAGGUUGCCAUUCCUGGUUCCCACUGAUGCCUUCUUUCCUAUCCCCUCUUUCCCUGUUGUAGUUCUUCCUAAGGAAGACCCCCAAAUCCAGUGUUCAGCUUUCCAGUGCUUAAUAAUGGAAAAUACUAUAGGUGAGAGGGGGAAGACAUUGAUGAUAAAUGGGGUAAACAUGAGGGAAUGGGGAAAGUAAUUCACUUUUAGUUGAGGGUAGUGGGAUUUGUUGGGCAAAUGACUUGGGUGUGGGAUGAAUUAGGGACUGGGAUUUGAUGAGGAGAGACAGGAAGUUGUGACGGCUUGAGUUGGAAAAAUUGGCUAGGAGUAUGUGAGGGAAGGAAGGAACAUGGACACAACAAGCUAGAAGUAGGGACCAAGAACUGGGAAUUGCCCUGAGUGUAUUGUUUGGAGGAGAUGGAGGAGGAAAGCUCAGGGAAGGAAGGGGGAGAAGAUGGAGAGCAGGGUGAGUCUGAGUCCAAAUUGCAGGGGGAAACUGGUAACUCUUCAACAGCAGCUUUUGCCAUGUCUCAGUUCAAAUGGCUGUGCAGACAGCUGGCAGUGGACCAGCCUCUGGGUGUCGAGCUGGUCCACAAGGCAAUGGUGACUUGCUUUCCCCUAUACCUUUCCCAGCCCACAUAAACACAUCUCUCCUGCAAAACAGACUCCCCUCUUUCCCUCCAUAUAAGGAAUUUAUUAACUGCCCACCUGCUCUCCAAGCAGCAUUAGGGUGGGAUGCACAGGAAGAAGUGCUCUCCUGCAAAACUGAAGUUUUAAAGCUCAAAUUUGUAAAAAUAAAGUUUUUCCCCACCUCCUGCUACUGUUGGGCUCGGUCUGUGAGUACAAGGGAUGAUGUGAGAGCUGUCUCACCCAGCUGCUUUUGUCUGAGCUCCAUUUGGGAGUGUCUUUGCAGUCACUUCUGCAGUGGGCAUUACCACCAGGCACCAGAACAGAGGAGUCUGGGGGAGGUCCUUGUCUGUGUCCUUGGUUCAAGUGACAGGUAUCUGUGCAUUGGAUUUAAAAGUCCCAGUUCUAGCAGUGACUCACGUGUAUAUCACUGACAUCUAUUGUUUUCAGUAUAAGCUUUUUAAAAAAAUGCCAGGAAAACUCUUGUCUAUGCACGCUUACAGAGGCGUUCAAUGUCUGUGCUGCAAAGUCAAGCACUGAAAGAGUCAGACUCAGUGUCUGCUGCCUCUCCUUUCAUGCUCCUCAUCAGGCAUGUAUCACAAGUGGCUGUUUUUUCUCCAGUGCAGCACUUGAUCACCACUCAGGGUUGGACACACCUGGGGCAGGAAUGGAUCGUGCAGCACGUCUGGCACCACGAGCACCGCCUGGUCCGUGCCAGAGGUUAGAAAGCGGGCAGCAAUCUGUUAGGAGAUUGAAGGAGGUAAAAAGGAUGGAGGCAGUAUCUCAUGGCUGAGGUAUUUAAAAGCUCUCAGAGGAGCUGGACUUAGUCUCUGGUGCCACAGUGUCUGUGAGAUGUUAGACAAGUAAGUUAGGUUUUCUGAAGAGGCCAAGUCCAAAUCAGGCAGAAGCUGAGUGACAGUUUUGGUAUGCUGGAGCUGGCUUUGCAGAACUGCUGUAGCAGCAGCAGUCAGUGUUCAGGCGUGCCUGGUCAGGGAGCACUGGUGGCUCAAGGGGUGACUCUGAAGCCCUGAGUGAGCUAGUCAUGAAAAGGGCAAAUGUAUGGUGGUAUUAAUUGUUCUUUGUCAUAGGCACCUGAGCCCCAAGGGGGUGAAGUAAUAUUUUUAAUAGAUACAGAGAAAUGUCAGGUGGAAUAAUUUGGAGAGGACCAAGCUGUGUGGUUUAUUUAGUCUCAAAGUCAAGGUUGAAAGAGGACAGCAGUGCACAGCAGCGUGAACAGCAGUGUGGAAGAGAGGUAAUGAAGCUAUGAACAAUACUGGCAUAAGAAUAGAUUUUUACACAUCAGCAAUGAAUCAUUUCAGCCUGGAAGUUGGAAGAAGGUAGGGUUUUUUUUAACCAUGAGAACAGCAUGGCAGGAAGGGAUGGAAGAAACAACUCAUUUUAAAAGACAACUCCUAUAAUUUAGGAACUGAUAUGGUAGACUACUGUGUUAUGACUAGAUAUGAAGCUGGUGGUCCAGAAGCCCCACAAUCCACAGGAAGAUCUGUACAGAGUGCUGACAUCUUCUGAAAAAUCAGCUUUAAUGUGCACAAAGACCACAGCCCUAGUUUAAAGAUGCUUCGUUUGUGCUCUGUGAAAAGGAAGGAGUGCUGACUUUCAUGGAAAUGUUCUUAACUCCAGACUCCAGUUUGUUCUGGAGUACUCUGCAAUAGGUUAGUGUCUCAUAGCAUUUCCUAUGAGGAAAUCUGGUAAUUGUGCCUCUGCCAGUAUUUGAAUAAAAUAUAUUGGAGCUGUACAAUAAAUCAAGAGGAGCACAAAGCCCGCACCAUUAACACAGCAGUUGUUGCCCCUUUUUUUCUCGAGAUGAGAAGAGCUGAAGGGAAAGGAAAGGUGGGGUGUGUUUGCGUAAGCAAAGGCUGUGUGCUUGUUCACUUGCCAUGGGUAGAAAUCCCAGCUGUGCCAGCAAGUGCAGGAUGUGGGACCACCCAGGCCUAGCAUGGCCCUUGCUGUGGCUGAGCUGCCUUUAAUGCUUUGCCAUACAGCUGUGAAAUGAUUAGUCCCUUGUUUAUUUAUGCACAGGCAUGAAACUAGUUUCAGGUGGGCUCUGGAUAGGAUCUGAAGUGCAGCACUUGUUAAAGUAAUGGGAAAGGACUGUGGGAGAUCAAUCCAAGUACAGCAGAGGCCUCUCUGAUGGAAGAUUUGAAAAACUUUCAGUGGCUUUUCACAAUUACUUCAGCUGCUGCUUGAGCAGGGAUGACUUGACUGAAUUGUUCUUCACAGAUUCCUGCCAGGAGGGAUUCCAGUUCUGAGACACUGAGCUCCUGAGGGCUGACCUUGGAGCACUCCUCAGUAUGCAGAGUGUAAAACUCCUUUACUCGCUGCUGAGCAGUGCUUGCACAGAAUCAAGGCCUUUUCUGCUCCUCACCCACCAGUGAGGAGACUGGGGAUGCACAAGGAAUUGGGAGGUGACACAGCCAGGAGAGCUGACCCCAGCUGGCCACAGAGGUACCCCAGAGGAUGUGGCCUCAUGCUCAGCAUGUAAAGCUGGGGGCAGAAGAAGGAAGCAGAAGACGUUUGGA